rnacentral:snRNA from 1 species
NNNCUCCAUAGGAGGUCUAUAUUGAGCAGAUUCUUUUUGGUAUUGGGUGGUGGAACCGGAGCGUGCUCCAUCCACUCCAUGCAUUGACCUGGUAUUGCAGUGCUUCCAGGACCGGUGC